rnacentral:lncRNA from 10 species
AAAGCCCUAGAUUCCCACGUGGCACCCAGAGCUGGAGUUGCGCUCAGAGAACAUAAGCUCCCUGAAGACAGUACUUUGCUUUUCUCACCCUGUGGCCCCAGCACUUGGCACAGUCCAAGGCAAGGAGAAGGGUUAAAUGCAUGGUUGAAUGAACGGGGUAGGCUUUAAAUCUAAUGAGAAUUUCUAUAAGAGGAAGAGAGGACACAGAGACUCAGGGAGAAGGCGAGCUGAAGGCAGCUGCAGUGACUGGAGUGAUACAGC